GACGAACGCUGGCGGCGUGCCUAAUACAUGCAAGUAGAACGCACAGUUUAUCCCGUAGCUUGCUACACCAUAAACUGUGAGUUGCGAACGUGUGAGUAACGCGUAGGUAACCUGCCUGGUAGCGGGGGAUAACUAUUGGAAACGAUAGCUAAUACCGCAUAAUAUUGAUUAUUGCAUGAUAAUUGAUUGAAAGAUGCUAUUGCAUCACUACCAGAUGGACCUGCGUUGUAUUAGCUAGUAGGUGAGGUAACGGCUCACCUAGGCGACGAGACAUAGCCGACCUGAGAGGGUGAUCGGCCACACUGGGACUGAGACACGGCCCAGACUCCUACGGGAGGCAGCAGUAGGGAAUCUUCGGCAAUGGACGGAAGUCUGACCGAGCAACGCCGCGUGAGUGAAGAAGGUUUUCGGAUCGUAAAGCUCUGUUGUAAGAGAAGAACGGGUGUGAGAGUGGAAAGUUCACACUGUGACGGUAUCUUACCAGAAAGGGACGGCUAACUACGUG
rnacentral:rRNA from 1 species